AUCUGAACUAUAUAUAGACUAGUAAGUGACAACAAAAUCAAAUAUAAAGUGAAAUCUUACAUCAUGACUUUCCGAUUCAAUCACCUUUCUCUUCUCUGUUUUUUAAGCAUUAUCCUGAUUUUGCUUUCAGCAGCAUCGGGAAAUGAAUGCAUAGGUACAUGCGAGGAUUUAGGAAGCAAUCCAUGGUGCAAUAAAGGUUGCAUCGAUAAGGGUUUCAAAUCUGGUGAAUGUAUUUAUCGCACUCCAAAUGUUGCGUCUUGUUGUUGUGUCAGUAAUAAUUAAGAAUGAGUUAUUGUAAAAUUAUAACCAUCCAAAUAUUAAAUAAAUACCUCUCCAUUUUCUAUUA